CACUGCCUGCCUGUUACUUUAGCCCAAAGAAGAGCACAUUUCAUGUUGCCUUACAGGAUCGAAUGUCUUGGGUAAUGUAGUUUGUAUUUAAUAUUGAUCCUCCCAGAUUUUAGAUAGAUAGGUUUAACUUUAAUGUGAUAACAUUUUUAAAUAUCGCAACUUGAUGUGAUCAGAAAAAGUUCAUGUUCACGCUUACUCAGAAAGGGCACGUUUAUGAUUAUGUUCUGUUCCAGGAAUUAAUCUUCUUAUCAAAUCACACAUCAAGGUUAUUCAGCUCAAAUGUGUAUGUGUGGGUGUGCGUGCGUGUGUGAUUAUGUGUAUGUACUUGUCUUGGAGUUCAUAAAUCUUAAAAAAAAAAAAAAAGGACGGGAAGAUCUGUGAAUAUUUGAGCAAUGGACAUUUGUUGUGUUUACUACCUUCACCUCAGUGUGGUCAGUGUCAGCAUGUCCGUGUGUCUUUAUUACUGAUUCACAGCACAAGUGCUAUGAGAAAGAGAGAGAGAGAGAGAGAGAGAGAGAGAGAGCACGAGAGAGAGAGAGAGAGACAGCGAGAGAGAGAGAGAGAGAGAGAGAGAGAGAGAGAGAGAGAGAGAUGUCAAACUGCUUGGCUCAGCAUUGGUUGCCAUGCCAACUGAAACAACAAAUAUUUAGAGCAAUGUAACACUUUCUAUUGAAAUUCCAGUUCCAGGUUCCAAUCAUCUGGAAAGUUCUCUUGUUGUCAAACUCCUUCCUAUUUUUUUUCUUCUUGUCACUAGAAUGGUGUCUUUGUCCAGUAGAAGUGAACUUGAAAAUAUUGCCGAGGUGUGCAGUGUUUUCACUCAACACACACUCACAUUCAAGUGGUUUCUCUCUCUCUCUCUCUCUCUCUCUCUCUCUCUCUCUCUCUCUCUCUCUCUCUCUCUGUCUCUUACAGUUUCUCUUUUACUGUUUCAACUAGGGCUCUGUGUGUGUGUGUGUAGUUUGGAUGGGCAGUUUGAUUAGAAAGGGCAGUUUGACUUGAUUAUAAAGUGCAGCUCUGUCUCAACACCAUUGCAGUUGCACUGCUGACACACUCUCUCCUCACGUAGGAGCAAUGAUUUCUUAUAGCUGCUGUCUCCAUGGCAGUCUGUUCACACUUAGUCUGGCAGUGUGGUUCUGUGUUUUUGGUCAGUCUGUGUUCAGGUAAACUGCCAUGGUGUAUUGUUGAUUUAGGGCCACUGCAUGAAGUGAUGAGAUAGAGUGUAUUAGUGAACUGAGGUUCAGGACCAGCUGGGUGAAGGGACUCUUAUCUCUUAGGUAAAGGUACAAACAUUCACUGAUGCUCAAGAAGGCAACAUGCUACUUUAAGAGCCAGGGGGGUGGAAACUUUGGAACAGGAUGAUCGGUGUAAAUUGUUAUUAUUUUGUCUUCUGGGAAACAUGUAACUAUCUUAUGUAGCUUCUGAAGGCAGUACUAAUGAAAAUAAAGAUCUUUAAACAAAAUAAUUUAUACCAAUCAUCCAGUUCAAAAGUUUACACGCCCUGGCUCUUAAUGUAUCAUGUUGACUUAUUGAGCAUCAGAGAAUGUUUGCACCUUUUGUAAUAGUCGUGUACGAGUCCCCCGUUGUCCUCAGUGUGAAAAGAUGAAUCUCAGCAUCAUAUAGUCGCUGUUGGAAAGGGAACAAAUAUGCAGAAAAUGCUGGAAAAGUAAAGAAUGUGCAGGACCUGGAGGAUUUUUCUGAAGAACAGUGAGCAGUUUAACUGCUCAGGACAAACAAGGGACUCAUGAACAACUAUCACAACACAUCAAAACAUCAUGUCGUUGAUCAUCCAGGUCUGUGUGGCAUUGAGAGGAUGAUGUGCUAACAUGAUUGACAGCAGUGUUGGGAAUUGGUCUAAAUCUUGGCCUCAAAAAUUAACAACUAAGUUGUAGUUGUUUACUCUUCCCAUAGUACAGCACCUAGAGAUGACCUGCUAUGUGAACCGCCAGGUCUCCAGGACACAUAGCCAGUGGAUCAGGACCUUAUUAUUAUUAUUAUUAUUAUUAUUAUUAUUAUUAUUUUAUGGUGUUAUGGCGGUGAUCACAAGUUAUUAUAGCUUAUAUACAGUUAUUUUAGCUACUAUAAACCUAAUUUACUGGUCACUUAAGUGAAUGCUUAAUAACUGUCAACUCAAAUGUAACUAAUAUAGGGAAUGGUGCUGUUAUGAGAUCCAAAAAUUUUCAUAUUUUAAUGAGCUCCUGGUCUACAUAUAUCUGUUUUGUUUAGGAAGGUUCUGAUGAGGAAAACAGUUGAUAUAGAGAUGGACUUUUCUAGUCCUUGGAUCUUAGAUGGGGUUCAUGUUCAAGUACAGGGAGGGACUAGCACCAAGGGUUCUGUAGUUCUCUGAAGCACAUUGAAUACUGACCUUGACAGAUGCUAUCUGAGGAGCUGCAGCACAGGGAGGUUGUGUGCUUGAGAAGAUAGGAUACUGAACGGUGAUGACAGAGUCCAGUCCCAAAGACCAGGCCCUUCAGAUGAUGUCAGCAAAAUAAAAUCAACCUCAACAAUCAACAAGCGCUUACACUGAAAUGAACCUGAACAUAAUAUAAACUUUUAUACAAGUAGCGACUGUGAUUGUGUGGGCACGUGGACUUUUUCUGGAAACUUUGCUCAAGAAAUCAGAUGUCUUGCUUCGGUUUAACCUAAGCAAUCACAAGUCAAAGGGGAGUGUUUACUACUAAUACUAGCAAAAAUAAAGGAAUAUAAUUAAGUUAGAGAAAGACAAAAGUGGACUAUUUUACAGGGACUGAAAUGAAUGAAAGCGGGAGCGUGGUGGUGAUCUACAGUCACAUACUGUAUAAUGCUGCCAAAUCCAUUUUCUCAUAACCUUUGGCACAUUUUAUCUCUGUAAUUUAGAGUAUGAUAGAGGUUGUGUGUUCUAAUAGGUGUGUGCGUGUGUGUGUGUGUGUGUGUGUGUGUGUGUGUGCAGCAUUUGCUAUUAAUGAAUACAUGUGAGGAAUGUUCCCCUUAAGUUUAUCAUUAAUCAUUGUUAGCACAAUGUCACAGAGGACAAUUUCAGCAUAAGCCAAAUUGUGUAUGUAUAUGUGUGUGUGUGUGUGUGUGUGUGUGUGUGUGUGUGUGUGUGUGUGUUCAUACCACACAGGUUGGUAUUUCACUCCAUUCAGUCCAAGGUGAGUUUCGGGUGAAUUUUUUUCCCCUCUUCUGUUUCUCCUUUCUGAACCAGUUGAACUACAGUCUCGCACAAAUACACACUCGUUCAAACACACCAUCUCUCUUGUG